UACGUAGGGGGCAAGCGUUAUCCGGAUUUACUGGGUGUAAAGGGAGCGUAGACGGAAUUGCAAGUCUGAUGUGAAAAUCCGGGGCCCAACCCCGGAACUGCAUUUGAAACUGUCCGGCUGGAGUGCAGGAGAGGUAAGCGGAAUUCCUAGUGUAGCGGUGAAAUGCGUAGAUAUUAGGAGGAACACCAGUGGCGAAGGCGGCUUACUGGACUGUAACUGACGCUGAGGCUCGAAAGCGUGGGGAGCAAACAGG
rnacentral:rRNA from 1 species